rnacentral:lncRNA from 1 species
GUGGAGUCCCGCAGCGGGAAGGGUGGGAGGGGAGUUGGGAGAGCGCAGUCACCCAGGGGUCCCCAUGUGGGCUUGUACAAGCCUGGCUCAAUCUGCAUAGCAACUGGGCAGGCAGAGCGAGCCCCCACUUUAUGGGUGAGAAAACCGAGGCACGGAGAGGUGAAUGCGCAUGGAAUCAAUGCCGCUAAGACAGAAGUGAGGCGGAAAAGCCUGUCCUCGCCAGGGGCGGCCCUGUCUCCAGCUCCCAGGUACCUCCCGCUCAUCUGCCCGAGGCUCCUGGGGAUGUGGCUCUUGGGUUUCAGGAGGGCCCUGCUCCUCCUGUGGGAACCACGGACACGUGUGUGCCCGCGUGCCGUGAGCUCACACACACACCACGGCGCAUGGGCAGGGAAGCGGCACUCCUGGCUACCCGGAAGAGUCUCUCCCUUUUGCAAACGCCAGCCACAGAGGUUUAUUUUUCUCCCUGAGAGAAGGAAGAGUGAAGGCUGAGACUGAGACAGAAGGAGAAGACUUAGAAGCCAGUGAGCCCGGAGCCACGAGACGCGCUCAGAGGACACGGGGCCUCGGGGAAACCGGGCACGGGCAGGGGUUGGUCUUGGCUUCCCUGCAACAUUGCCGCGAGCUCGGGUGCCGUCUCCACUCGCAGGCUGGCCUGUCCUCUGCAGCCAUGAGCUCAGGCACCGUCUCCAUUCAUAGGCCAGCCUGUUCUCUGCAGCCUGAGGUCCCUGUGGUGCCAACAUCCAGAUGCUGAGAUAAUUCUGCCAGGGUGUUGGCUGAUCGGUGAUUGGUGGUUGGCUGUUCUGUGAGUUCUGCAUUGAUCUUGCUGGCUGAGCGUCCAAUGCGGAGGGGCAGGUGCUGUUAGGGUCUCCACUCCCAUCCCUCUCCCCAGGACUCAUCACCCACUGCAACCGUAAGCUGCUAGGGGCUCACAGCCGUGAGUCUUUGGAACGGGUGGUCCCACCUGGCAUGCAGCUCAGGCUACCAGCCCCAGGACCCUGCUGCUGCUCCCCUCCCGCCCACAUCUUGGCUUAGCCGUCUUCCCUGGCUGCCAGCCCCUUCCCCUGGUCUUAGUUGGCUUGGGCCACUAAACUGAAAUAGCACACCCUGAGGCCUUCAACAGCAGACCUGAUUUCUCACCAUCUGGAGGCUGGAGGUCCAGGAUCCAGGCCCCCAAGGCUGCUUUCUCCCCCACUCCCCCACCCACCUUCCAGGACACGCGGACUCCACCCUCUUGCUGCCCUGUCUCAGGGCUGUCCCUCUGGGCAAGCAGGCCCCUGGCAUCCCCCUGUGUCCUCUCCUCCUGUUCUUAUAAGGACACCAGUCAUACUGGAUCUGGGCCCACCCUAGUGACCUCAUUUACCUUAAUCACCUCUGAAAGACCUUGUCUCAACAACAGCCGCAUUCUGGGGCACUGAGGGUUAGGGCUUUAACAUGGGAAUUUGAGGGAUGCAAUUCACCCCAUAAAACCCAGACCAUUCCCCCAAUAAAUCACUUUCACAAGAGCUCUUCUCUCAGGCUUCGCUUCUGGGGGAUCCCCCUUGAGACGGCUCCAUCUAGCUUCCUGCUUCUCAAAGAACAGAGGGGAGAGCCCUGGUGCGAAGGUAACGGGUGGCCUUGGGGGCCUGCGGAUAAGCUGCUGGCACUGCCAGGGGACAGGCUGAGCUGAAAGCCAGGAGGAGGG